UGGGGAAUAUUGGACAAUGGGCGAGAGCCUGAUCCAGCCAUGCCGCGUGCAGGAAGAAGGCGUUAUGCGUUGUAAACUGCUUUUUGCCAGGGGAUAAAAAGACCGUGCGCGGUUAAUUGAAGGUACCUGGUGAAUAAGCCACGGCUAACUACGUGCCAGCAGCCGCGGUAAUACGUAGGUGGCAAGCGUUGUCCGGAUUUAUUGGGUUUAAAGGGUGCGUAGGUGGCCCUGUAAGUCAGUGGUGAAAUAUCUCAGCUUAACUGAGAGGGUGCCAUUGAUACUGCAGGGCUUGAGUACGGAUGAGGUAGGCGGAAUUGACGGUGUAGCGGUGAAAUGCAUAGAUAUCGUCAAGAACACCGAUAGCGAAGGCAGCUUACCAAGCUGUAACUAACACUGAGGCACGAAAGUGUGGGGAUCAAACAGGAUUAGAUACCCAUGUAGUCCCUGAGCGGGCUGGCAAGGCGCAU
rnacentral:rRNA from 1 species